rnacentral:lncRNA from 1 species
GACAACUCUUCGCGUAUUGAACACAUGAUUCUCCCAUCUUGGGCCAAAAAUAUCCAUUCUUAAUAAUUAACCAUCUCAUCUUUUGGCCAGCUUGAUGAGCUCCACAUAUCCCUUCAUGCACUUCAGCCAUGAUUGUUCUGGCUUCUUGCAAACUUACACAUUUUAGUAAUAUACCAUCAGAGCGUUUCUUAAACAACUCUUCAUCUAUCA